AUUGAACGCUGGCGGCAUGCCUUACACAUGCAAGUCGAACGGUAACAGGUCUUCGGGUGCUGACGAGUGGCGAACGGGCGAGUAAUACAUCGGAACGUGCCCGAGAGUGGGGGAUAAAGAGGCGCAAGCUUUGAUAAUACCGCAUACGAUCGCAGGAGGAAAGAAGGGGACCGCACGCCCAUGGGUUCACUGAGCGGCCGAUGGCAGAUUAGGGAGUUGGUGGGAUCAAAGCUUACCAAGCCGACGAUCUGUAGCUGGUCUGCGAGGACGACCAGCCACACUGGGACUGAGACACGGCCCAGACUCCUACGGGAGGCAGCAGUGGGGAAUUUUGGACAAUGGGCGCAAGCCUGAUCCAGCCAUGCCGCGUGCAGGAUGAAGGCCUUCGGGUUGUAAACUGCUUUUGUACGGAACGAAAAGACUCCUUCUAAUAAAGGGGGUCCAUGACGGUACCGUAAGAAUAAGCACCGGCUAACUACGUGCCAGCAGCCGCAGUAA
rnacentral:rRNA from 1 species